rnacentral:lncRNA from 1 species
ACGAUCUUUAUAAAGUUGUUUGAAGUGUCUAUGAUAAACAGAGAGCAAAUUAGAAUGCUGGGAAGUUGACAUGUCGUCACUUCAUUUUUUUGCGCCUGCGCAUAAAUCUGAGAAGCGUGAGUUUGUCAUAAUUGUUUAUCUAGACAUAGGAUAGGUUGUGUGAAAAUAUUACUGAUGUUUAACGUUAAAAAUGGACCAAAAGAUUAAUGCUAAACAACGUUUGACAUGUUUGAACGAACGUAAAUAGAUUAUUUACUAGGUUUUUUUAGCUUUUCGGCGUGAUUUUACACCCCCCCACCACGUUUUGUGGGCGCAUAAUGAACGCUAACUACUUGGUGUUAUUUGGACAUAAAUUAUGAACUUUGUCAAAAGAAACCACAUUUAUUCUGGACCUUGGAUUGCUGGCAGUGCCUUCUGAUGGAGAUAAUCAAAGUGACAAACAGAGCUGGGAGAUUCGUAUGAAGAGGGCCUGAUUUCCCAGCGAGGCAAACACGCUGUUUGUGCGUGUGUGUGUGUGUGUGUGUUGGAUUGGCGUGUGCUUUGUGUGUGUGUGUGUGUGUGUGUGUGUGUGUGUGUGUGUGUGUGUGUGUGUGUGUGUGUGUGUGUGUGCAUAUAGGAUCAGGGAGGCGAAACACACUGCUAAUUGCUAUCUAGGCCACAGACUGGUAACAGCAGGCUACGUCUGCACACUGUGACCGAGGGGAUAAAUACACAAACAGAGAGAUUCACCCGAGGACCAGAGAUACAAAAACAACAACCUGAGAGCAAAGGAGAUUAAUCAAACCUGUGUGUGGAGCUUUUGUGAAUACUGAAGACCUGAUCCAGCUAUCAAACCUCUUCGCCCCUAUUGAGACGGACCUACCAGCCACGGGAGUCAGCACGGCCGCCCAGUAGCACCCUUCCCCACAGCCACGAUCCUUCAGCAAGUCACUUCCCUAUCGGAUUUCAGCAUGACCACCAUCGUUGUGGGCAGCUCGAUGGUUGAAGCACAUCCCUAACACCCAGACAGAUGUCAAGAACUUGGGAACCUCUCAGCCACCAGGAACAUCAUCUUGUUCUUGGAGUUUAUUCACAAGGUUUGUCAUAUGAUUUCCAGGCACUUGGUGGAGAUGAAUACAACAAUAAUCCAUGGCAGGACAUUUCCCUGCACCCAGAUGGAGCCCUGCUACCAGCAGGAACAUGGAGCACGCCAUGUCACUAAGUCAUGCCUUUUUCACAAAGGUGCUACAGAGACAUAAUAUUCAAAUGACCUCCAGAGCCCCCAGACGAACUACCUGAGAUCUCUUCAGGGCACAGAGAAGUGAGUCUGCUGGGUCAUGGAACUCUAGAGCAGCACAUCAAAACACCUGCCACCCUGUUGUCAGCUAUCAGCAGACAGUUCCCUGAGGAAGGAUGCAACUAUCAAGGCUUUAAAAUUGUCAAAUGUGGGGGAUGAUCACCAAAUGCAAUAAAGUUUGGUAGAACCUACUCAUGUUCAUUGUUUUGUAGGUUACAACACAAAACUUUAUUAGUCUGUUCUUAUUUUUACUAACUACUCCGGUAACUUAAACAUCUGACAACAUGCAGACUUUUUCCAUCAUGACAACACUUAGAGCUUAUGAUUUAUUUUUUUAUGAAUCAAUGAAAGUAUCGUAUCCAGGGUGAAUACUGUACAUUUGUAUUCAGGUAUAUAAAAUAUCACACAGACAACUAAAAUAUAUUUCCCAGACAAGACUGAAGUAUAGGACAAAUAGGUUGCAUUUGGACAAGCAGCACAAGUCUGAUCUUUUUUUCCCUAAUUGGUCUUUUGACCAAUCACAUCAGCUCUGAAAAACCAAUGUGAUUGGUCAAAAGACCAAUUAGUGGAAAAAAUAUCAGAAUGGUGCUGCGAGUCUAAACAUAGCCAGAGAUAAGUGAAUAUGAGUCAGGUGUUGUGUUCAUAGCAGUUUCUAUGAAUUUGAGUUGUUAAAUACACUACAUGAUAAAUGGCUACGAGACAGAGAUAAGGAGACUCUUGUUGUAAUCAAAGGGAAGGUACCAUUGAAGGCCCCAGUAUUCAGGCAGGCAGCUUGAAGCAGUGGCUUGAUAGAGAGAUGACACAUUUAUUAUGUACCUUUCAUCACCAAAGCCAUGUUAACAUUUACAGCACACAUUUCUCAACAAUCCGACCAUUUUGUUGGUAUUAUUGAUCUAAAAUGGGCAAUUCACACACAAUAUCCAAUUCAUAAGCAUUGACUAAUACCUCUAGGGUCCUGUGGUGGUCUGGUAGCAUGCUGCUUUCUAGUGAUCUUACUCCCUCUCCACCAUAUCAAAAACAGGAACAACAAUACGCCUAGUCAGGCAAUAACUUGGCAAACUAGGCUAAUUAAACACAACAAGUAAAUGUGUACAUGAGCCAAAUGAUACCCAACCAGUACAGCCUAGUUGUCUAUUUGCAGUGAAAUUGAGGAAUGGGGACAUUUUUCUUGCGAACUUCUUCAGUCACCAAUUAAUACAUAAACAGGCAGUGGAAUGAAGUAAUUUGACAAAAAAAAUGAACAGGAAAAUGAAACAAAGGUCAUUAACAAGUCUUUAAAAUAUAUCUAGUAAAUAUAGCUAUAGUUUUAAUAGUUUUUAUUUUCUAUAAACCAAGCUAAAAUGAGCUACACUGCAGUGAUGAUGGUGGGAGUUAGCUAACUACCUUUCCCCCAGCAGUUUCAAUUUAGCUAGCUAUUUUGCUAGCUAAUUACAUUUAUAUCAACUUUAUCAAUCAGAUGGUUAACUAGCAAAUAUAUUUGUUUUCUCCUCGCAUCUAACGUUGCCUGAUAAAGCUAGCCAGUUGAUAGUAAAGCAAGGAUGAAUGUCGGGCCAGCAAGCUAACGUAAUAACAGCUGUUAAUAAAAUGGCUGAUCUGGAGUUUGUCUGAAAUGUAGCUACCAUUAUAUUUCAGAUGAUAAGCAAACUACUGUCAAGCAACCCCCCCCCCCCCCCC